AAAGUUUUUUGUUGAGGCAGUACUCUUACAAAUACAAAUGGUGACACAGUGAAGUUGGUGAAAGUCCAACACUGUCGCGCAACGGUAUUUUCUACUUUAUGCAGAAUAAGUCCGAUCCUGUGCCUUAUCUGGUUUAUA
rnacentral:ncRNA from 1 species